GCCACAAUAGCUCAGUCGGUAGAGCAUUGCAUUCGUAACGCAAAGGUCGUCGGUUCAAGUCCGACUUGUGGCU
rnacentral:tRNA from 1 species